rnacentral:rRNA from 1 species
AAUCAACGCUGGCGGCGUGCCUAACACAUGCAAGUCGAGCGGGAAAGGGGGCUUCGGCCCCUGAGUAUAGCGGCGGACGGGUGAGUAACACGUGGGUAAUUUGCCCUUGGGUGUGGAAUAACUCAGGGAAACUUGAGCUAAUACCGCAUGGCAUCCCCUUCACACACGAGUCGGGGAUCAAGGCCGGGGACCCUUCGGGGCCUGGCGCCUGAGGAGAAGCCCGCGCCCGAUUAGCUAGUUGGGAGGUAAUGGCUCACCAAGGCUUCGAUCGGUAGCCGGCCUGAGAGGGCGGACGGCCACACUGGGACUGAGACACGGCCCAGACUCCUACGGGAGGCAGCAGUGGGGAAUUUUUGUCAAUGGGGGAAACCCUGAACAAGCAACGCCGCGUGGAGGACGACGACCUGG